CAGCAUCAGCGACGGACGUACUUAGUGCAGUCAAGAAAGAAAUAAAUCGUGAAUCUCGUUCUGUCAUUGAUAUAAAGAAAUUAAUCUCGCUACCCAUAAGUGGGCAGUGAAAUAGAUAUUUUGGUGCAGAAUUGUUGGCAACGAGGAAAAAAAAGGGAAAACAACAAAAAUAAGUCCACACGCAGCAAGUUGAAGGCCAGCUUUAUUAAUUUAGUGGCGGCGCAAUAGCGUGAGGCCCCAUAAAG